AUGGAAACUCUAGCUCAGCUUCUCUGCCUCUUAUCACUCUGGCUCCCAGAUACCACCGGAGAAGUUGUGAUGACGCAGUCCCCAGCCUCCCUAUCUCUGUCUUCAGGAGACAGGGCCACCCUCACCUGCACUGCCAGUCAGAGUGUUGGCACCUACUUAGCCUGGUACCAGCAGAAACCUGGGCAGGCUCCCAGGCUCCUCAUCUAUGGUGCAUCCAGCAGGGCCACGGGCAUCCCAGCCCGGUUCAGUGGCAGUGGGUCUAGGACAGACUUUACUCUCACCAUCAGCAGCCUGGAGCCUGAGGACUUGGCAGUUUAUUACUGUCAGCAGUAUAGUAAUGGGUAG